GCUUACGGACAUGCCAGCUGAAGAUUGCCCAAUCUUGUCUGAUCUCAGAAGCUAAGAAGGCUUGGGCCUGGUUAGUACUUGGAUGGGAGACUACAUGGGAAUGCCAGGUGCUGUAAGCU
ensembl:rRNA 5S_rRNA 5S ribosomal RNA